UACGAAGGGGGCUAGCGUUGCUCGGAAUCACUGGGCGUAAAGGGUGCGUAGGCGGGCCUUUAAGUCAGGGGUGAAAUCCCGGAGCUUAACUUCAGAACUGCCUUUGAUACUGGGGGUCUUGAGUUCGGGAGAGGUGUGUGGAACUGCGAGUGUAGAGGUGAAAUUCGUAGAUAUUCGGAAGAACACCAGUGGCGAAGGCGGCUUGCCGGAACGCGCCCGACGGUGAGGGACGAAAGCUGGGGGAGCAAACCGG
rnacentral:rRNA from 1 species